UACAGAGGUCCCAAGCGUUGUUCGGAUUCAUUGGGCGUAAAGGGUGCGUAGGCGGCGCGGUAAGUCGGGUGUGAAAUCUCGGAGCUUAACUCCGAAACUGCAUUCGAUACUGCCGUGCUUGAGGACUGGAGAGGAGACUGGGAUUUACGGUGUAGCGGUGAAAUGCGUAGAUAUCGUAAGGAAAACCAGUGGCGAAGGCGGGUCUCUGGACAGUUCCUGACGCUGAGGCACGAAGGCCAGGGGAGCAAACGGG
rnacentral:rRNA from 1 species